UCCAGACUCCUACGGGAGGCAGCAGUGGGGGAUAUUGCACAAUGGGGGAAACCCUGAUGCAGCGACGCCGCGUGGGUGAAGAAGUAUUUCGGUAUGUAAAGCCCUAUCAGCAGGGAAGAAAGAAGACGGUACCUGACUAAGAAGCCCCGGCUAACUACGUGCCAGCAGCCGCGGUAAUACGUAGGGGGCGAGCGUUAUCCGGAUUCACUGGGUGUAAAGGGAGCGUAGACGGCCGUGCAAGCCAGGAGUGAAAGCCCGGGGCCCAACCCCGGGACUGCUCUUGGAACUGUGCGGCUGGAGUGCGGGAGGGGCAGGCGGAAUUCCCGGUGUAGCGGUGAAAUGCGUAGAUAUCAGGAGGAACACCGGCGGCGAAGGCGGCCUGCUGGACCGCGACUGACGUUGAGGCUCGAAAGCGUGGGGAGCGAACAGGAUUAGAUACCCCAGUACAG
rnacentral:rRNA from 1 species